UCAUCUUCGGGGGUAGAGCACUGUUUCGGCUAGGGGGUCAUCCCGACUUACCAACCCGAUGCAAACUACGAAUACCGAAGAAUGUUAUCACGGGAGACACACGGCGGGUGCUAACGUCCGUCGUGAAGAGGGAAACAACCCAGACCGCCAGCUAAGGUCCCAAAGUCAUGGUUAAGUGGGAAACGAUGUGGGAAGGCACAGACAGCCAGGAUGUUGGCUUAGAAGCAGCCAUCAUUUAAAGAAAGCGUAAUAGCUCACUGGUCGAGUCGGCCUGCGCGGAAGAUGUAACGGGGCUAAACCAUGCACCGAAGCUGCGGCAGCGACGCUUAGGCGUUGUUGGGUAGGGGAGCGUUCUGUAAGCCUGCGAAGGUGGCCUGUGAGGGCUGCUGGAGGUAUCAGAAGUGCGAAUGCUGACAUAAGUAACGAUAAAGCGGGUGAAAAGCCCGCUCGCCGGAAGACCAAGGGUUCCUGUCCAACGUUAAUCGGGGCAGGGUGAGUCGACCCCUAAGGCGAGGCCGAAAGGCGUAGUCGAUGGGAAACAGGUUAAUAUUCCUGUACUUGGUGUUACUGCGAAGGGGGGACGGAGAAGGCUAUGUUAGCCGGGCGACGGUUGUCCCGGUUUAAGCAUGUAGGCGGAGGUUCCAGGUAAAUCCGGUACCUUUUAACGCUGAGGUGUGAUGACGAGGCACUACGGUGCUGAAGUAACAAAUGCCCUGCUUCCAGGAAAAGCCUCUAAGCAUCAGGUAACAU
rnacentral:rRNA from 1 species